UGAUCCGGUGAGUACUCAUCGCCUUCAUCGGCUUGCGGUACCCACUGGGAGGGGAGACAUGUUUACAUGUUCUCACCUCCUCCACCAUUUUUCAGGUAUCGCCGGCGGUGAGAGUUGAGACGAGACGUGAGACACGUUCAUAGUGGUCGCUAGAGCUUCCGACCCAGUUUGUCAGUUUGGUUCCUACCCUGUUUAUUUUUGUUAUUAAUAGCUUUUAUAUUACAUGGUUCUGUUGGUUUAUGUUAUUCGAAUUCAUGUGGUUUUGAAUGAACUAUAGAACUCGUGGAAUGGAGAAUGUACGAAUGCAUAGUUAUCUUUAUAUUCAUUUAGUUGUGGUUGUAUCGAGUUUACUUGUUGUACUUGUGCGACGCCGUGCAAUUAUAGGGGAGACUCUGUCCGUAUGAACAGUGGAUUUUCUGUAUUUGUGGCGGAUCUGACAAACCCUGGGGUCAGAUUUUCAAAAAAAAUUUAGACGCUUUUUCGCUGUGUUUCAAACUAAAAGGGACCCGGGGCGUGACAGAUUAAAGUGGUAUCAGAGACAAGUUACAACCACAACACCAUUCACAGAUUGUUUUGAAAAGUAAAUGAAACUGAACCAUUAGUUAGGUUGACCCAUAGGAAGACCUACGGUAUAUAGGCACGUGAGUGCGGGGUUUGGACUUGUGUCCUGGGCUGUAUUCGAGUUAGGUAAACUCGGAGUGCACGGUUAUUUUCGUAUGUGCUACGAUUUUCGCACAAGCUAGUGUCUCAGUCGAGAGUAGUGGCAGUGUUUCUUUUUGGACAUUGAGUGGUGGGGCGGCGUUCCCCAGGUAUUGCCACUCCUGUCAGGUUGGGCCUUGAAAGGCCAGGUGAUCUUCGGCUUAGGCGAGUGUUUUAACUGCCGACGGCAGGCCACUCUUCCUACUGAGGGCACGAGAGCUACUGCGAGUGUCUCUACUGAGACGGCACUUAGACCAGUUACGGUCGCGACUUCUGUGGGGCUACUAGGGUGUAGCCCAAGGUUAUGGUAGCGGUCAUUUAGGCGACUGCAAUUUUGGUGAUUCUUCCUCAGAUCUUUGGGUAGGGUUGUGAUGCCUACCUCUCUUCCUUGGUUGUUGAUGAAAUCAGCGGUUUGGAUCUUUUGACCUUUACCUAGUUCAUUCGUCAAAUUGACAUAUACUAGAGUCGGAUUGACACAGUUUUGGUGUCAGGUCUCUGUUGAUGCGUACAUCAUAUGCGAUUGUUCUAACACCUAAAUUAGUGUGGAGUGGGUAUAGCUCGAUUGUGGUGUGGAAAUCGGUUAGAGAAACUAUUUUCUAAAGCCUCAGUUUGAACGGUUUGCGGCUUAGUGUCGUUAGUAGCUUUUGGAUGUUGAAAGCUAUGGGACUUCCAGUGAGUCGGUUUAAGGUCGAGCUGUUUUUGAAUGUCGACUUGUAAUGUUGACGUUUUGAUGGUUGGUUGUGAACUUUUGGUUCAGUGAAGAAGUAUCAGGUGAUUUGAUACUUCGACGUGUCGCGCUUCCAACUCGUUGUUGGUAGUGGAUCUUCGGAUAUUUUGCUUUUCUUUUGAUAAGUACAUUGGCUGCAGACAAUGUACUGUCGAAAGAUGAGACGAAAUACCCUUUCCCUGUUUAGGACUUUUGGAUUGGGUCGGUGUUUUCUCUAGAUUGUCUUGUGGGAAGCUAGAGUGAGUAACCACGUAGCGAGCCUUGGAUUAUUUCCUGGCAGGUUUGCGCAGUUGAUUUAUCAUCACUGCAGAUAGUUUGACUCUAGUUCGAGUCUAGGUGUUCGUGGCUCUUUAGUUGUACUUGUUACAACUAAAAAGUUUGUUUGGUUAGUUGUCUCGGUCUGCUUGCCGGAAGGUUCGAAAUCACAGUUGUUGAGUGACUUGAGCCUAGUUGUUGGUUAUGAUUGUCACUGUAUGUGAUAGCAUUUUAGGUUAGCGACUCACCGUGUCGUGCAAACCUUGGGAUUGUAUGCUUGUCCGGUUAAUUGGUGACAGGUGCGCCUAGGUCUCAAUGAGAUAGGUAAUUGGGUGUUGCUGGAAACAUUGAUCGCUAGGGUCCCUUGUAGGACGGCAGCGACAGGGUCUUGUGGAGACAGGUAUUCCGAUGGUUAGCAUCGCUUUUGCGAUUGGCGACCUGUGCAUCAAGUGAUGGACUUGCAAAGAGCUUUUGGUGGUUUGUUGGUACCGGAUUAAGUUUGAGGAGACAAAAUUGUCUAGCUCAAUUGGUAUUGUCAGUUGGACUUUUCAGGAGAAAUGUGAGGUCUUGGACCUAGGACUACAGAUUGUCGCAGGUGACUUUCCGUUGAUGAGGUUUUGGUAGUUUGUGUGGUUACUGGUAGAGACUGUGGUCUCCGAAACGAGUGUUAUUGACUCAGGUUUUAGAACAACGUUUCGUAUUCGCUCGUGGUGAGCAGGUUGACGUUGUUGGCUAGUCGGAGUAUUUCGUUUCAGUCGACGUAAAUAGACUCCAGACUAGUGGUGUUGUCUCGUGACUUUUCUACGCGAACUUGCGACAUAGUCAAGUCAGUUUCGACUAUGCGGACUAAGGUAGAGUGGACCUAGAAUUUCUAAGUGUUGAUUAAUUAUCUCAGAAUUAGCAAUUUGGGAUCAGAUAAUCCUAGUUGUGGGACUGUUUUGUCCACAGGUUAUAGGAUGGUGUUGAUUCCGGUUAGUUUUUGGGUCCGGAGAUUUUGGGUUGGUAUGUCUUCCCUCAUUUUGUACGAGUGGAACCAUAGUCCUAUUCUCCCAUUCUUCGGAGGUUGAUCUGUCCAAAUGAAAUAUAAUCGACCAGUACUCAAUGGUGAUACCGCAGUGGCGGAGUAAUAUCUGAAUUCAAUUCGAGUGGGUACGUGGUCAAGUUUCGGGAACGAAACUUCUUUUAAGGGGGGGUAAUGUAAGGACUGAGAUUUUGACAGUGUAGCUAAACUCUCUGUUGACGAUGUUUUCGUGUGUAAUUUAAUUACAUAAGCACUCGUCAAGUUUCAGGAGAAAAUGAGUUAAGAUGGAGAAGUUACGCGACCAGAACCGAUGACUUAAAGUGAAUAGUAACUCCGGCUUUUCGGAGGAGCCAGCUAGUAGAGAAGGAUUCUGCUGCGCAUUGGACUCCGAUCAUAGCUCUCCAAUAGCUCGUUUCAAACGGCUCGACUAUUCUGGACCCAAUGGCACUUACGGAAUUGGGUUCCGAUGCACGAUUUUUGAGAAAAAGAGGUUUGAUUGGAUUUAUACAUAUAUGUGUUUUGUAGUAGAACAAUGAGGGCGGGUUUCGUCCCGAAUCAGGGACCAAAUCGGAUGAAACAAAAUACUAUAGUCGUGUUGAACGCGCCGGCGUAAUCCGUUCGGAAAUUCGACGGACGGAUCUUCGGAAAUCGUGAAUUGUUCGCUGAGGGGUCGAAUUGACGAAACGGAAACUUGGCGAAAGGUCCAAUAUUUUAUGUACCGUUUUGCGAGGUUUCGAACGUCGUGGCGCGGGCAUGCAUAGUGCACGGGCUGUCGAGGGCUGGGCUGUAAAUAUUAUGCUUUGAGGGAUUUCUCGGCAAAUUGACACCUUGUAUAAAGAUGGCAGCUAGGGUUUCCACAACCUUUUGCUGCCCAAAUCCUCCCAGCUAACCCUAGCCGCCUCAGCAUUUCUCUACCCUACACGUGUGCACGUCCCGACCGCCGGAAAAGCAACCUCAGCCUUCCACCAACUCCUCCUCACUCCACCUUGACUUCUCCCUCAGCAAAUGGAACCAGAGAACCCCGAGCACUUUGAAGUCUUCAUCCUCUGGCCGAGACCCAUCCCCCUCACCAUCCCUGCCGGCCCCCGUCGUCCCUGCGCGCCGCCGGCGCUGCCUGUGCAGACCACGGCCAGCUCUGAUUAGCUAGGGCCGAGCUCGAUUUAGCUCGAGGCCUGCUCAUUUAAGCCACCUAAAACUGGCUGCCCUGUCCUCUUCUGGCCGCAGGCGACCUCCGGCGCACUUCCCUAGCAUUCCCGCACGCCGCCGGCCUAGCUCCCUAUGGCCUUUUAGAUCCUGUGCGGGCCGAGGCCGAGCCUCCUUGGCUUCCAAGCGCCGCCGCCGCCCACCGUAGGGCGCAUUACCUUCCCCUCGGCCUCCGCCGAUAGAUCACUGCCACCCCGAGCUCCUCCGGCUACCGAGCGGCCGCCGUGGGCCCCCGAACACGUGAGCUGAUGACGGGUUGGAUCUCCACCGCCGCGCGACCGGCUGCCACUCGCCGCCGGCCAACACCAUCCCUAGACCUCUCGGACCGUCCGCACCCAUCCCUGGCCGGAGCGCCCGCCGUCUGGCCGCCGCCGGCCAGCCCUAGCUCUCCACUGGUCCGAUAAGCGGUAUUUUUUGGUUCCUGUGCACUAUUUGGGUUUCCGUUCACUGUUCCGACGACCCGGGGUUGUUCCGAUGCCUCCGGAGCACAGUGAUUGUCAGUUAGUGCUGAUCAUAGUGCUCACCUCAUUUAGGGUCAGCAAGCGUCGGAUGUGUUAAUUUGUAGUGUUUUAGCUUCAGCUCGCAGUUUUCGCUGAACUUUGCGUCGCUCGCGCGCUUGCCACAGUGGUCGAAAGUGCUCCGAAAGGUGAGCACAGCCUCCGGAACGCCAAGACCUGUCAGCGGGUGUCUCGGCUUGGAUGAUUGACUUUCGGUUUACGUAGACGGACCAUAAAAGCCCCGAAAUCACAUAAAAUAACGUGAUUUUGGGUAAUCAGGAGGGCUUUUAUGCAAUUUGGGUUGUUGCGGCUACUGUUGGCAGCAUGGAUGAGCUGAGGGUAACCUUUGGACUGAUUGUCCAGGGCCCCAUGCCUUUGUGGAGAUCGAAAAGUGAUUUCCGGCUUGUUUCUCGACGAAAUUCGCCGAUGGAGCACAGGUUUGAUUCGAAAUUCUUUCGACGGUGCUUCGUGAUGAGUUGUUGUGUCGCUGAGCCUUGUUGGCUGGUCACUCAAGUCAUUUCGAGGGUUUGGAAAUGACGGGUGAGCGACGGUGGGUUCCGGUAUCGAAAUUGACACUUCCGGGAAUUCGGAUCCGAACGAUUAUCCGACGAUAGUGUUGGUUGUGUAUUCUUGUGUUUGCUGCCAUGAUGCACGAUUAUUUAUGUAUAGUGGUAGCGAGUGACUCGUAGCAUGAGUCGGUGUGUUCCAGGACAGUUCGUGGAUCCCGGCGGAGUCCCGUAGCGAUUUUCGGGACUUCCGACGAGUUACGGUAGUUGGUUUUGGGAAACCGAUCUCUGUGGGAUUAGUUUGUGGGAUGUGGAGUCAAUGGUUAUUAGUGGUGGGUUAGACACUAACCCGAUGGACCUUCCUUAGGUCUGGUUGACAUUCUUUUGCAGUCAGGAGACAGAUGUGACAUCCUUACAGGUGGGUACUUCGAUCCGAAGUCGGUACAGUGGUACACGCUCGGUGAUGGUUUCUUACCCUUACUCUUCUGUUGUUACUAUUGCAUCGUAUAUAUUGAGCCUUGCACCUAUGUUAUUCCAUUAUACUCUGCUCGUUGUUUGCAUGCUUAGUAUCCUGAGUAGGAGUAGAGUAGUUCUAUCUAUAUGCAUAUAUGUUGACCUGGUUGGUCGGUUGUUGCAUUCCGUAUCUGUUGACCUGGUUGGUUGGUUCUCGUACUUCGUAUUAGCGACCUUGCUGGUCGGUUGGACUUUGUGGACUUUGGGUCCAGGCAACACAUCGACUCUCUCGUCAUGUGUUUCAAUCUGGUUGAUCGAGGCUCGACAUUAUACGCCCUUGUUUCUGGCUUCGACCUAGGCACCGGCUUCAGCCGGUUUUUGUAUUGAGCAUACCAGCAUGACUUAGUCACAGCACUUGGGGGUAUUCACGACACCGGGUCGAUUUGGCCACCGACCGAAGGUGUGCUUAUCCGGAUGGGUCGUUCUGUGGGGCGGGUGAAUCAGGUCGGUACAGAUCAGUGACAGGCAGCGCUUGAGGUCUGCGGACCAAUAUAGUAGGUACCCGAUUGGGUACAGUUUUGGUUUGGUUACCUUGAGGCAUACUCAGCUUUGCAUUCCUUACAGUAGCAGUUUUAUUUAUUGCUCAGUUAUCUGUUAUAGCUACUGUAGUUUCUUUGUAUCAGCACCUGUAUUUGUUUACCAUAUUGUUGUUUACCUCUUCCUGAUCCGGUGAGUACUCCUCGCCUUCAUCGGCUUGCGGUACCCACUGGGAGGGGAGACAUGUUUACAUGUUCUCACCUUCCCCACCAUUUUUCAGGUAUCGCCGGCGGUGAGAGUUGAGACAAGACGUGAGACACAUUCGUAGUGGUCGCUAGAGCUUCCGACCCAAUUUGUCGGUUUAGUUCCUACCCUGUUUACUUUUGUUAUUAAUAGCUUUAAUAUUACAUGGUUCAGUUGGUUUAUGUUAUUCGAAUUCAUGUGGUUUUGAAUGAACUAUAGAACUCGUGGAUUUUGUGAAAAGGGAAAAUAGUUUUCUACCUCUCGUGGUAGCAUUUUUUAAAAGAUAAAAGUUUCCGAGUAGGGAACAGUUUUCAAAAGGUUUUCUGUGGAUUUAUGUGUAGACAUUGAAUGUAAAUCUGUGAUGUGAAUGGUGAAUGUAUGAAUGUAUAGUUAUCUCUAUAUUCAUUUAGUUGUGGUUGUAUCCGGUUUACUUGUUGUACUUGUGCGACGCCGUGCAAAUACAGGGGAGACUCUGUCCGUGUGAAGAGUGGAUUUCCUGUAUUUGUGGCGGAUCUGGCAUACCCUGGGGUCAGAUUUUCAAAAACAAUU
rnacentral:lncRNA from 1 species